GGGGGUAACUUAGGGCCUCCAUACAGUUCGUGUUAAUAGUUGUACUUUUGGCCGAGUGCAGCGGUUAGUGAAUC
rnacentral:ncRNA from 1 species